GGGGCGGUAGCUCAGUGGUAGAGUGGAAGAUUGCAAUAAGCUGAUCCUUCAGAGCGGCUUGCAACCUAUCUUUAGGUCGCCGGUUCGAACCCGGCCCGUCCCU